rnacentral:lncRNA from 1 species
UACAUCAGCAACAGUGUGGGAUGGUUCCAGAAGGGAGAGCACAGUGGUGCUGGUUUGAGACACAGAAAGGUGCCUGCUCAGCAAGAACAAACUGGAAGAAAAAGGACUCGGGUGUGGCGGUGUGCCAGGUCUUGAUCCCACUAAGAAAAACCCCUUUUGCCCCAAGGUGCAGGUGAUGGUGAGACCAUCACUGAUAUCCAGAGCUCCCCAGGUGAGGACAAGCAUGAGGGUGUGCCAGCUGCACGGGCAUGUCCUGCUCCCUACCUCUCCCCAUCACACCCCGCUGCCCUCACACCCUCUGUCCCCCAGCUCCGCAUCCCUGGCUCCUGUACACCCUCCCCACAGCCAUGGUGCUUGCAGUGGCAGCCCUUGUCCUCGUCCUCCUGUCUGCAGGCAGCUGGUUUGCCAUCAGGAAAGCUGAGGGAGUAGGGGAAGGAGGGAGAAAGGCUGAGGCUAUGGGGGUCCUGCUGUGGGGCUGGUGCAGUGGGAAAUGUGGUGUGGAGAACCUGGGGGUGUGCAGCUGGGGCAGACAUUGCCUGGGGGCAAUGGCUGUGGGCGGCCCAGCUGGGGAGGUUGCUGAGGGAGCUAGGAAGCUUCAGCCUUCAUCCCCCAGCCCCGAGACGGGAGCAAGGGCUGGGCAGCCUGUUUGUGCCAGGUGAGAUAUGGCCCCAGGGUGGUUUGAACAAAGGGAUGGGGAUACUGCAGAGGCUGGAGCUGUGUACUGCAGCAAGUAGGGCAUGGCUGUGGUGUAGAUCCCCCAUGGGAGUGUUCCCUCUCCUCUAAGGCAGCCGCUAGAGAAAGAGCUGCUCUCAGACGUGCCCCUGUCCCUCCUGGAGCAUCUCUGCAUCAGAGAUAGGGCUGCAUUGGCAUUGGAACAGAGAACAAGGGCUGGUGAUGUCUGUGGAUUCUGGGGUUUUCCACUACUGCUCUAGGAUGUCCCUCUAACCUUUACAAAUCUGUGUCUGGGAACAUACAUGGAAAGGCUUGCUCGUGUUCCCUGUGUGCUCAAGGAAGCAAGACAUGAGCUCAGCAUCUCCUCAGCAUCUGGGAUUGUCCCAAAAUGGAGUUCAAGGGACACACAGAGUGUUCAUGUCUCCCACAGGCAGCAGCCCCUCACACAAGGCCCAGCUCCCUUCCAGGGGGUCAGCCAUGCCCCUGGAGGUCUGGAUCCUGCACUCUGCCCUCAGCCUGCUCCUGCUGCUGUCUGCCCCCAUCAUCACCCUCCUCCUGGAGAGAUGCAGCCAAGGUGCCAGUGUGGCCAGGCAGCCUGGAGACGUCCCUGUCCCCAUGGAUCUCUGAUGUCUCCCUGGUCUCCAUGCUGUCCCCAGCCUGCUCCCCCAUGCUCAGAGCAUGACCCCCACACAUUUGCCAGACUCCUGCUGCCGUUGGGUUCAAGGCAGCUGUGGCAGCAUGCCCAAGGGUUGUGCUGCCACUGCUCUGCUUCCCUUUGCUCAGACCCUGCUCUCUGCUCACAUCAAGGAUUGCCACUGCAUCGUGCACCCUCCUGGCUGCGUUCAAACCAGCACCCACGUUGCUUUGCCCCCUGCCCACAGAAUCACUUCUCCAUCGCGGGAUCCUCCUCUGCAUACCAGGAGAACAUGGGGGGAUGGAGUCAUGUCUGCACCCCCAGGCAGCCAUGCUCUGCAGCUCCUGCAUCACUCCAGCACCUCCCUGUGCCCAAGGUGCCGGCCACAAUGGGCACAUCCCCAGGUGGUUACGGUGCCCUGUGUGGAGGCACCUUGGUGGGUAUUGGUCCUGUGGGAGGCCAAUUAUAAAGGAUUGGUUUCUAAUGCACCAGAUGAUGUUGCUGCUCUGUAUUUGAGAGGCACGACAGCGAGCAGAGCUGGGAGAGCUCCUCUAUGACUGCCAUAUGGGGCCAUGUGUCCUGUGAGGGAACUGCUGUUCCCUUUGCCCUGCCACCCAAGAGUUCCCCUACCUACUGCCAUUGCCCUGGCAGAUGUCACAUGUGUGAUAUACAUUCAUCUGAUUCGUGUCAGUAUGGAACAGUGCUAGGGCCGCAUGGUAUGAUGAAUGUGACCUUCUGUCUUACAUACCCUUGUAUAACCACAAGUCUAAGAAAAACAGAAUGGUUGAUAUAUAUAGUUCUUGUACCUUGCAAAGGAAUGUUUUAAGAAUUCGUGUCAAUAGAGAGCAGUUCUGUCUGUCUCUGGGUCCUGCACUGGCAAUUCAAUUCUUCCACAGAUGUGGUUUCUUCCCUUUCCUCCCAGUGUCCCAAUCUCCCCCUCAUUAUAGUCAAUUUAUCAAAUCUUCAGAAAUAUUCCUCAAAUCCAUGAGCCUAUUUGCUUUUGUUACUGAUUCCGAACUCUAAUUCCUAACACUUAAAGCCUUUUUGCCUUCUUUGUGAUUGAUUUAGCACUGCUAUAGAUGUGACUGGAGGGUCCCUGUGAAUGGCCUGUGAGGAACGUUUUAACUACUCGUGAAGUGUCAAUAAGAGAGCUAUUUGUGUUUGUAUGUUCUUUGAAGUCUCUGAUGUCUGGGGGUUUCAGAACAACUGCUAACAACUAGUAACUGUUAUGACUUCUGAAUGGGACACUAUGCAAGCCCCUGAUAUCUGGCCAGGUGGCCAGGAGAUUAAGGAGAGGAAAGAAAGAAGCUGAAGGACGGCUAGAAGACAAAACUUGCAGGGAACGCUGUGUAAGCUUUUGACCUGCUGCCAAGGAGUACAAAGGGGAAGGACGAGAAAAAAAAAAUGAGAGGAAGACUACAAGCCUUCAGCA